UUUAAGAAAUGCGAAAAAAGGCGACAGUUACAUUAUUAAUUUUACAAAAUGACAAUUAUACGACGAUCCUUAUUAUGCUGGUGAGAACAAUUUCGUUCAGUUUCGCUUAUGACGGCAUUAACUAACUACAUUUGAACACAUCCAUUGCUCAUUGCUUUCUGAACCACGUGUUGUUUGUUAUAUUGACAUACUCGUACUUGUACCUGGACACCCUGAUAUUCCGUCGACGCUGAGGUGUUUGAUUGACACCCGGGACAUUAUCGACCGGUUAUUUUCUCUGCCCUGAUUCGUUAACCCUGCAUCUUCCCUCCGCUCGACCUCUUCAACUUUAUGCUCGUGCUGUGUUGGCUGUCGCCUUCACACUCUUCGCUUCGUUGGCGUCACCCUCUCUGAGGCGUCUGCCUGUGUCACCCACGUGGAUCAGUGACGUCCCCUGCAGGCUGGGGGUGUCGUCCUAACAGUCUUCCCCUGUCAAUCAGUUCGUUCAGUCAGCGGUAUCAUUCUCUCUUCCUUCGUUUGGUUGGCUGAGGAGGCUCCUGUUCCGAAUCAGGCGCUAAUGUCAUGGUGAUUCCAAAGUGAUUACGUUAUAUUCCGAUAUACCACUCUUACAGUAAUGGGGUGAUAUUUUUCAUAUUCCAUUUCACUUUGCUUUCCCAUCUUCUCUUACAUUACUGCACACGUAAACACUCAUCAUAUACAAUAUCGGCUUACCCGGGCAAAUCUAUCAAAUUUUGGAUUCAUUUCAGUAGCUGCUUUGCAAUUGCUUGCUGCUUUAAAAUGCUUGCGCUGCUUUGGCUUAGAAUUCAUUCAUAUUCAUAUUAUUUAUUUGCUAACUAAUUGUAGCUAGAAGAUCGAAUUCGCCCAGUAGGGCGAUCUAACUACAUGAAAUGGUUUUUAUUUAAAAUAGAAAGACCCGUGUCUUUCUAUGUGUCUAGGUAUGUCUUGACGCGAUAUUUAUGAAUGAGUUACAUUAUGUACUCACUGCUUGACGUUUAGUUAUAAUGGGUGGGACGCGAAUGAUUAAAAUCAGUUUUUAAUGUUAUACAUUUCAUGUAGGUAGAUGGGGAGUAGAAGGGAGAGUGCAUAACAAAACUAAUCUUACUAACCAUUGGCUUGCCUUUAAUUAAUUAUAAGAUCAAAUUAAUGUUAUGGUACUAUCCCAUGUGCCAACCUCACCUGCUCGCGCCAACAGCCGGCUGUUGGCGGCAGCGGCGUGGCUCACCGCGAGAGUGAGACGCUCCGCUGCGGUGCUCCCUGCUGUCUUACUGACGAGGCUCUGGCUUUAACUAAUAUUUAUGGCUGUCUUUUACUAACAUUGUAUGUCAUGUUAUAGAGCUUGCAGAUGGACUAACCAGGCUGGCAGUGUGUGGCAGCUAACUUGUUUAUAAAUGUGGAAACAUCUCAUUCACACAAAACACAGAUGAGCCGUGCAAUGCUUUGAUGUGUCUCUAAUUAUACAUCGAUGUAAACUCUAACAAUGCAUAGCCAAAUAUAAAUCUAAUUUUAAUAUGUUUUAUAUUACAGAUGACAAACGAUUUAUUAGUAAUAUCACUGUUUAUAUCUUAUCUGGAUAAGAUACUCAAUUAGACAUCAAGAUGACUGUCACUCGUUCACUCAAAAGAUACUAAGAGUAUAGAAGCCAAAAGAGAAACUUGAGUGAUGCAAAAGUUAAAAUUGCUACGAUGGUGCUCACCACAUCUACUCGCAAGUCAAGUUCCUCAAGAUGAAGCAUUAAUAACGCAGCCCUGACAAAAUAAUGCAAAUUUGAAGAAUUCAUAAACAUAAAAAGAACUAACUACUAAUUAAGGUAUAGACUAGAAGAAAUAAUAAAAAUUAAAAUGUAAUAUAAUACUUAGCUACCUACGUUUCGCUACUUCAUACUGAACUGAACCGGAGUCUGACAAUGCACCACACGACCUUUUUCUGAUUAUGUAAAACGCCAUGAAUAAAAUAGAAUUGAUCACAUCUCACAAGGAAGGAGGAGUGAUAUCGCCAAGAAGAAAUUACUGUCUCAAUGCGUAAAAUAUUACUCUACGAAGCAAGAAGGCUAAGAAUAAAGAAAGAAAAGAAAGCAAAACAUAAACGCAAGACGCAAAUAGUAGUUCACGACACGACAAGUUCAUCAGUAUCAUGGAAUUAUCGACAUUGGACUUGAAAUCUCAGUUGCAGUUCCGGUAUUGGAUUGAGGACAGCAGUCAACUAUCGAUGAACACUGAUUUGAAGAUGCUUGACGUUCUACAGAGGAAGCAAGAAAAUAAUAAUUAGAGAUAUUUACAGAUUAAAACAUAGUAGUUAUGCACUUUUAUUCAAAUUAAUAUUGUUUACUGAUCAGUAAUAAUACCAUAACCCAAGACUUGUAGCAGCCUAUGCUGAACCUCAUCAUGGCUCUUUUGAUUUUUUUUCUUUAUUUUUCAUUUUCUAAUAUUAAUUUAGUGAACAUAAAAUGCCAGCUACUCGGAUAUGUAGGUGACUUGGGACUGAUUUUUUAAUCGUUGAAUACCUAUCUGCUGAAGAAUAAACAUUUUGACAUAUCUCAUACUAUUCUUCUGUUAAAAGUUCUACGACGAUUGAGAUAUCAGCCCAUAAGUUUUUUUUUUAAACUGAGGUGGAAUUGUGUAAAGCAAUCGUUAUCAUUUGACAGUUACGUACGUAACAUAACGUACGAUAAUUCUGUCAAACGCUUUAACUGAUUUUAUCGUACGUUAUGAACUGUCAAAUGAUUACGAUUGCUUUACACAAUUCCAUCUCUGAUCCAGAUUAUUUUUUAUAUUUUCAUUUGUAUAGGAAAAUGUAACAUAAUCAUUUAGCCAAUGUCAAUUUGCAUUCAUAUUAUAAAUAUUGCACUUGAAAUGAUGAUUAUUAUGAUUACAUAAUAUUUUGGAAUUAAACAUGUCUUAGCUAAGUAAAACUACUCGAAUUUCACUAUCAUUGGAAUUUAAUAUUUUUCGCUUAUAUUAAAAUCGUAGCUUGAUCCAGUCAUUCUAGAUAACUUAGAUUUUUAAAUCCGACUGUCAGCACUGAAGCUACAUGUAGCACUUUUUUCACUUAUAAGCUUUUGUCUUUUUAUUUAAUGUACUAAAUGAUAGAUCAAUUACGAAAGUAGAUUGCUCCUUUACAGAGACAUAGUAAUAUUACAGUCAAAUGUAUGCUUUCAAAAGUUGUAGAUUAAUUGUUUAAUCGUUAUAAAUAUACUAUUUGAAGCAAUUUUUUGUUUUUU